UCAGACGAUGCGUCAUGCAUAUCAAUAAGCGGAGGAAAAGAAACUAACAAGGAUUCCCUUAGUAACGGUGAGUGAAGCGGGAAGAGCUCAAAUUUGAAAUCUUCAAGGUUUUACCUUGACGAAUUGUAGUUUAAAGAAGUGUUUUCUGUUGAAGUUUUGGUAAAAGUUCUUUGGAAUAGGACAUCAUAGAGGGUGAGAAUCCCGUAUUUGACCAUUAUUUUCAGCUGUGUGAUACACUUUCAAAGAGUCGGAUUGUUUGGGAAUGCAGUCCAAAAUGGGUGGUAAAUUUCAUCUAAAGCUAAAUAUUGGCGAGAGACCGAUAGCGAACAAGUACCGUGAGGGAAAGAUGAAAAGAACUUUGAAAAGAGAGUUAAACAGUACGUGAAAUUGUCAAAAGGGAAGCGUUUGACACCAGUGUUGUUUUCUCGAAAAUCAAUUAAAAAGAGUUAGAUUUUGUUGUGUAUUGACCUUAACAGCUUGCAUUUCAAUUUUCUUGCUUUUUUUAAUGCACUUUUCGUUUAACAAGUCAACAUCAGUUUCUUUUGUUGUAAAAAGGUCAUUGGAAGGUGGCUUUCUUUUCGGAGAAAGUGUUUAUAGCCUUUGACUCCUGCAAUCGGAGAGACUGAGGUCUGCAGCGUAGAUCCUUCGGGGUUAGAUACAUUUGUGCUAAGUUAUAGCUUUUUAUAGACAACUUGUUGACUAUGAUUAGUCUUGUAGCUUACUCGCUUAUGCUAUUUUACCUACGCUUAGGAUGUUGAUCUGUAGUGCGUGCGC
rnacentral:rRNA from 1 species